UCUAUAACAUCCAUUUCCCCCAGGGUACUUGUGUAUGGAAUGAGACUCAGGUCCUUACCCGAUUCAAGUUCGGUUAUCGAUACUAUCGACUGGUUACGAGUGGUGCGCGCCAAAUCUAACUUUUUUGAAUGUGAGCGACAAGGAGUUAAAUGUUGUCAACCGGGCCAUUACCGAUUCAAAAAAUACGACGAUUCCCUCAAUUUUGAUCUUCCGUCGAAUAUCAGCUGGUAUUUGAAGUCAUGAUGCGUGUACAGACCCUUGUAUACCCUAUUUCGCUAAUAUAAUUUGAAGGUCCUGUUUCCGAACUGUUUUUAAAGCGUAAUUCAUAAAGAAAUUCUCUCAAAUUAAUAUGUUUUAGACAUAUUUAUUCCCGUGCCAAAUCUAUUUGUAGAAUCCGGGUGUAUGGGACGGAAAUUAUUAAAAAAAAAUGUAAUCAACAAUUCAAGCGGAACUAAAGAAGAUAAUUUUUGAAAAUAACAUAAGAACCGAGUACAAAUUGUUUGAUUUGCACGGAUUCCCAAUUCGAUAGGGAGUUGCGCGUACAAGUGAGCUGUAUAAAUACGGUGCCUUAAAUGGGAACUAGACAUUCGUAUUCAGCGAUUAGCUCAAACCAUAAUGAAGCUCUACCUAGGACUCCUUUUGGCCGUUGUCUUGCCGCUUCUUAUAUCUGCAAAGAGGGCGGAUCCCCCACUCGGACCUUAUGCCGAAAAUUAAAAGAAUAGAUUAUAUAACUUUUUGUACCCUUAUGUCAUUAAAAUGAAAAAUAUGUGAGCUUGGCUGGGUAA